rnacentral:rRNA from 1 species
AACGCGAAGAACCUUACCAAGGUUUGACAUGGCCGGAAAAGCAUCAGAGAUGGUGUGUCCUUCGGGGUCGGUCACAGGUGGUGCAUGGCUGUCGUCAGCUCGUGUCGUGAGAUGUUGGGUUAAGUCCCGCAACGAGCGCAACCCUCGUCCUAUGUUGCCAGCGGGUCAUGCCGGGGACUCAUGGGAGACUGCCGGGGUCAACUCGGAGGAAGGUGGGGAUGACGUCAAGUCAUCAUGCCCCUUAUGUCUUGGGCUGCAAACAUGCUACAAUGGCCGGUACAAAGGGCUGCGAGCUCGCGAGGGUAAGCGAAUCCCAUAAAGCCGGUCUCAGUUCGGAUCGGGGUCUGCAACUCGGCCCCGUGAAGCUGGAGUCGCUAGUAAUCGCGGAUCAGCAACGCCGCGGUGAAUACGUUCCCGGGCCUUGUA